CCACAUUAUAAAAAACAGUUUGAAUACCAUGUUUUACAGACACACAGCUUGGCAAUACCGAGGAACUUUGUUCGAGAACACCAGCUAAAUGAUUACCGUAAAGCUGUGCUGUCAUUUGGUCAUGUGAAGUUUUUGGUACAGCUGGUUGUUAGGAGAGAUCCUAGAACACCUGACGACAACAACCAUCUAGUGAUGCAUACAGACUGGCAGCGUAUCAUGGAUGAAACGGGAAUAUCUGUGGGGAAAAAGCUGAGGUUUAAGAUAGUCGAAGAAAAAAGUGUAAGAGGAGAUAAAAUACACUUUGAAGUUUGUUGACAUGAUCUUUGAACACCUUUUCAGCCUUGUAUAAUUUAUGUUUUAGUU
rnacentral:lncRNA from 1 species